AUUGAACGCUGGCGGCAGGCCUAACACAUGCAAGUCGAACGAGUGGCGGACGGGUGAGUAAUGUCUGGGAAACUGCCCGAUGGAGGGGGAUAACUACUGGAAACGGUAGCUAAUACCGCAUACCAUCGGAUGUGCCCAGAUGGGAUUAGCUAGUAGGUGGGGUAACGGCUCACCUGGGCGCCGAUCCCUAGCUGGUCUGAGAGGAUGACCAGCAACACUGGAACAGAGACACGGCACAGACGCCGAGGGGAGGCAGGAGUGGGGAAUAUUGCAAGAGGGGCGCAAGUGAGAUGCAGCCAUGCCGCGUGUAUGGAGAAGGCCUUCGGGUUGUAAAGUACUUUCAGCGAGGAGGCGUUACUCGCAGAAGAAGCACCGGCUAACUCCGUGCCAGCGGCCGCGGUAAAC
rnacentral:rRNA from 1 species